AGUUUUUAUUCUAAGAAUAAAAAGAAAAUAAAUGAUAUAUAACUAUUACUUAUAAAAAUAUAAGUAUAUAAAGAAACUAUUAUGGAAUUUAAGCUAUGUAUUAAAGAGAAUUAUUUAUACAUAUAGGAUACUUAUCCUAUAAUUAUAUGAACUCUAAGAGAAAUUUUGUAAUAAACGAAGUGAAUUGAAAUAUCUUAGUAACUUUAGGAAAAUAAAUCAAAAGAGAUUCUAUGAAUAGCGUGAGCGAAAGUAGAGCAGCCUAAUAAGUAAAACGGUAUCAAAACUGUUUAAACAUAAUGGGGAACCUUCCUCAAAGGCUAAAUAUAAUACAUAAGCGAUAGUGAAAAGUACCAUGAGGGAAAAAAAUAAAAAUAGUAGUUUUAUAAGCAGUUCAAAAUAAAGAACGUACCUUUUGCAUAAUGGGUCACCAAGUUAACGUUAGAUGCGAGAUAGUACGUAGUUAAACCGAACGUUAAAAUAACGAGAUAGUGUCUAAAGUUAGACCCGAAGCCUGGUGAUUUUACCAUAAUCAGGAUUAUAAAAGUCCGAACCGGUGAUUGUAGCAAAAAUCUCGGAAGAAUUAUGGUAGGUGUAGUGAAAGACAACACUGACUAGGAUAGCUGGUUUUCUGCGAAACCUAUAAUAGUAGGCAAUUUAAGCAAAUAUCUUAGCAGGUACAGAAUUUAAUCUCAGACAAGACAUAUUAAUGUUUUAUUUUGUACAAAUUGGGGGAUCGUGAAGAUUUUAUCAGUGAGUAUGUAGACUCGGAAUGGCAAAGAUAUAUCUUAAAUCAUCAGACAUAGAAUGAUAAGGUUGUAUGUCAAAAGGGAAACAGCCCAGAACAAGAGUUAAGGUUCCUAAAUUAUUAGUUAAGUGAAAUUAAGAGGGUUUUUAUUUAAGUCGACAAGGAGAUAGGCUUAGAAGCAGCCAUAAUUUUAUGACCUCGUAACAGAGCGCUUGUUAAGUUAUAAAAGCAUCGAAAAUAUAACGGAUCUAAACAAUAUACCGAAACCUUGUCCAUAACAUAUUAUAAUAAAUAGAUUUAUUGUAAUUAAAUGGGGUAGCAGAACGUUGAGCUAAAGUGUGAGUUUUAUUUUUUAAAGAAAAUUAUAAUAAUUUAACUCAAGUGAGAAUGGUGACAUGAGUAACUAAAAGAAAAUUUUCCGCCUAAAGCUUAUGGAUGUAAUUAAGUAACGGCCUCUAAGUUUAUAUAAUCUAAAGAUUUAGACGAUGAGAGAAUCUUUAUUACUAAAAACAACAUUUUAGUGUAAAAUGUGCUGGAAAAAUAGUAAUAUAUUUGUUAAAAAUAACAAAUAAAAUAACCGUACCUAGAAUCUGAAACAAGUAAGCUAGUAGAGAAUACGAAGGCGUAAAUGAGCUAACAAUCAUAAAGGAACUCGGCAAAUUGACUACCGUAACUUCGGAAUAAGGAGGGCUCAUUAUUCUUGGUUAAUAUCAAGUAAAGAGGAAGAAGCAUGAAAUAAUGUUGUACGACUGUUUAAUUAAAACACAGCACUUUGCUGAAAGAUAAAAAAUCUAAGUAUAAAGUGUGAUAUCUGCCCGGUGCCGGCUGGUUAACAGAUAUAAUUGAAUAUACUAAUAUUUGAUGUAGACGGAAACCCCGGUUAAAGGCGGCCUUAACGUGAGGGUCCUAAGGUAGCGAAAUGCCUUGGCCGUUAAAUGCGGUCUUGCAUGAAUGGUGUAACGAUACAACAGCUGUCUCUAUGAUUGACUCAGUGAAAUUGGAAUAGCUGUGCAGAUACAGUUUACCUCUAGUUAGACGAGAAGACCCUAUGCAGCUUUACUGUCACUAAUUAUAGAGUAUGAUAAACGAUUUUCAGAAUAUAAGGUAAUUGACAAAUAUGACAAUGAGAAACCUUUAUUCUUUUUUCAUAUGAAUGAAUUGGUUUAGGAUUAUGAGUAGUUUAUUAUUAAUGUGACUUUACGGAGUUAAUUUAAUUAUUAAUUAUAUUAAAUUUAUUAAUUAUAUUCUUUAAAUUAUUAUAUAGCUCAUUUUAGUAAAUCAACCUAAUUCAACUUAUUUAUUUAAAAAUAAAUAAGUACCCUUUGGUAAGGAACUAUCGCUAGGGGACAGUUUAUGUGGGGCACAGACCCUGUAAAGAGUAAACAGGAGUGUCUAAAAAUUUAUAAUUAUUUUGUUUGUUAUUUUGAGUAGUUUAACUAUUUUUAAUCAUAUACAAUUAUUUAUAUUUGCAUUUAAUGUAUAUAUAUUUAAGAUUAGGUAAGAUUUUCACUAUAUAGAAAUUAGAGAUAAUUGAAAAUAUUAUGAAAUUUCUAAUAUUUUCUAGCUAUUAUUUAUAAUGGUUAUGUGUUUAAUAUCUAAAAAGCUCAACGGCUAAAUCUUGCCUUACUGUUUGAUUAUCGACAAAUCUUACAGUUGCGUAAGCAGGGCAUAGGAUCACAAGAUGCAACAAGGAAAGAUCUUGGAUUAUUGGAAAAGCUACGCUAGGGAUGUUUGUCCUUUAAUAUUUUAUUUAAAAAUAAAAUUAUUAAUACAUAGAACCAUUUUGAAAGAAAUGGAAAUAGUAAAAUAUGAUAACAUAUAGAACAGGCUAAUUUGCGCAAGAGUGUACAAAAUGAGUGCGCGGUUUGGCACCUCGAUGUCGGCUUAACUUAUCCUCAUGGAUGCAGGAACUAUGUAGGGUGCGACUGUUCGUCGAUUAAAAAGUUACAUGAGCUGGGUUAAAUACGUCGUGAGACAGUAUGGUUUCUAUCUUCUAGGGGAAAUUAGAAUAAAAUAAGAACAAACUUUUGUACGAAAGGAACAAGAAGAGUUUAACUGUAAAAAGGUUAAACGAUGGUUACUAAUCUAUGGUUUACCUGUUGUUUAUGUGCCCAAAUAUUAAAUAUAUAUGUAAUUUUAUAUAUAUGUCUGUAUUUUUAUACAUAGGGAUGUUUCUUUCACUAAGAUAAAUAUAUAGCAUAAGCACGGCAGGAACGCUAAGUUAGUUAAGGAUAAGUGCUGAAAGCAUAUAGGCACGAAGCUUAUCUUAAGAUAUUUCUUAAAUAUGCGUAAUAGACUAUUACGAAAUAAUUAUAGGCUUUAUCCGUAAGAAUCUAGAGAUUUUCAAGAAUAAAGUACUAAUUUAAUAAAUAACUAUUUAUAA
rnacentral:rRNA from 1 species